rnacentral:rRNA from 1 species
UGGGGAAUAUUGCACAAUGGGCGCAAGCCUGAUGCAGCCAUGCCGCGUGUGUGAAGAAGGCCUUCGGGUUGUAAAGCACUUUCAGCGAGGAGGAAGGGUAGUGUGUUAAUAGCACAUUGCAUUGACGUUACUCGCAGAAGAAGCACCGGCUAACUCCGUGCCAGCAGCCGCGGUAAUACGGAGGGUGCAAGCGUUAAUCGGAAUUACUGGGCGUAAAGCGCACGCAGGCGGUUUGUUAAGUCAGAUGUGAAAUCCCCGCGCUUAACGUGGGAACUGCAUUUGAAACUGGCAAGCUAGAGUCGUGUAGAGGGGGGUAGAAUUCCAGGUGUAGCGGUGAAAUGCGUAGAGAUCUGGAGGAAUACCGGUGGCGAAGGCGGCCCCCUGGACAAAGACUGACGCUCAGGUGCGAAAGCGUGGGGAGCAAACA